CUGGCCUUGAGAUCCCGACGGAUGCGGGGCAACGCCCGCAGCCCUUCGGGGCGUCGGAGACAGGUGGUGCAUGGUUGUCGUCAGCUCGUGUCGUGAGAUGUUGGGUCAAGUCCCGCAACGAGCGCAACCCUUGUCCUUAGUAGCCAGCGAGCAAGACGGGCACUCUAGGGAGACUGCCGGGGAUGACCCGGAGGAAGGCGGGGAUGACGUCAAAUCAUCAUGCCCCUUAUGGCCAGGGCUACACACGUGCUACAAUGGCGCCCACAGAGGGAAGCGAACCCGCGAGGGGGAGCAGAACCCAGAAAAGGCGUCCCAGUUCGGAUUGCAGGCUGCAACCCGCCUGCAUGAAGCUGGAAUCGCUAGUAAUCGCGGAUCAGAACGCCGCGGUGAAUGCGUUCCC
rnacentral:rRNA from 1 species